GCGGUACUCUGACCGUGCAAAGGUAGCAUAAUCAUUUGCCUUAUAAUUGAAGGCUUGUAUGAAUGGUUUGACAAGAAUAAAGCUGUCUCUUUACAAAUAAAUAUAACUUUAUUUACAGGUGAAGAAGCCUGUAUUGUAUUGAAAGACAAGAAGACCCUAUCGAGCUUUAAACAAAUUAGUAAAAAGUAAAUUGUAUUUAUAUCGAAUUAGUUACUAAAAAUUUUAGUUGGGGCGACUAAGGAACAACUAAAGCUUCCUAAAAGAUUUUAAAUACUAUCAGGUUGUGAUCCAAAAAUUUUGAUUAAAGAAAUUAGUUACCGUAGGGAUAACAGCAUUAUCUUUUUUAAGAGUUCAAAUCGAAAAAAAGGUUUGUGACCUCGAUGUUGGACCAGAAUAUCCUGAAGAUGCAGCCGUCUUCAAGGGUUGGUCUGUUCGACCAUUAAAAUUCU
rnacentral:rRNA from 1 species